AUCUAUGGCCAUGCGACCCUGAACAUGCCUGAUCUUGUCUGAUCUCAGAAGCUAAGCAGGGUCAGGCCUGGUUAGUACUUGGAUGGGAGAAAAUCAGUGCUCUUUCCAUC
ensembl:rRNA 5S_rRNA 5S ribosomal RNA